rnacentral:rRNA from 1 species
UACGUAGGGUGCGAGCGUUAAUCGGAAUUACUGGGCGUAAAGCGUGCGCAGGCGGUUGUGCAAGACAGAUGUGAAAUCCCCGGGCUUAACCUGGGAACUGCAUUUGUGACUGCACGGCUGGAGUGCGGCAGAGGGGGAUGGAAUUCCGCGUGUAGCAGUGAAAUGCGUAGAUAUGCGGAGGAACACCGAUGGCGAAGGCAAUCCCCUGGGCCUGCACUGACGCUCAUGCACGAAAGCGUGGGGAGCAAACAGGAUUAGAUACCCUGGUAGUCCACGCCCUAAACGAUGUCAACUGGUUGUUGGGUCUUCAUUGACUCAGUAACGAAGCUAACGCGUGAAGUUGACCGCCUGGGGAGUACGGCCGCAAGGUUGAA